rnacentral:snRNA from 1 species
CUAAUACACAUUGUUAGGUCU